AUACUUUAAUACCUUAAGUUUUUCUUAACAUGUGAAACUGACCAAAAUAAAGUCUCAUCUUAUUUCAUAAAUCUAAAAGUCAUAUUAUUUAGCAUUUGAGAACAUAAGCAUAAGGGAUGGAAAGACUACACUAAUAAAAGUUGAGCAUUGGAGCCUAUCACAUACAAAAUGCUAAAUUGAUUUUAGUAGUUUAAACAUGUGAGGUGAAAAUUUAAUGUGGAGAAUUAAACCAUAUAAAGAAAAGGAGGAAAAGAAGAAUAGAGGAAAACUAUAAAAGGAUUAAGGAUGAGGAGGCGCUUAAGGAGAAUUAAUUACAACUCUGGCUUUUAAAGCCUUAAAUAAAAUAACGCAAAUCAUAAUCCUAAUUAAUUCUAAGAGGUGUUUUAAAUGAAUCACUUAGGAUUCCUAAAUCCAUGUUAUCAAAACGUGCAACUAUGAGCAAAUAAAGCUAGUAAAAAUAAUAAACACAAAUGAACUUAUAAAUAAAAUAGCAAAGAUAUAUUAAAGAAGAGGUGCUUUAAUACAUGGUCUAAUCCUAGCAGAAGAUACAUUAGUACCUUGACUAGACUCAUUAGAGAGAUAUAUUAGUAUCUUAUCUCCUAAGGGAGAUACUUUAAUACUUUAAGUUUUUUUUAACAUGUGAAACUGACCAAAUUAAAGUCUCAUUUUAUUUCAUAAAUCUAAAAGUCAUUUUAUUUAGCAUUUGAGCUGAACAUAAGCAUAAAGAUAUGAGGAUUACACUAAUAAGCUUAAUUUACUUCAAGUUUAGCAUUGGAACCUAUCACAGACAAAAUGCUAAAUUGAUUUUAGUUAUUGAAACAUAUGAGAUGAAAACCUAAUGCGGGAAAUUAAACUAUGUAAAUAAAAGAAGGAAAAGAAGAAUAGACGAAAACUAGAAAGGGAUUAAGGAUGAGGGGGCGCUUAAGGGAUAUUAAAUACAACCUUGGCUUUUAAAAGCCUUAAAUCAAAUACCAUAAAUAAUAAUCCCAAUUAAUUCCAAAAGGAGUUUUAAAUGAAUCACCUAGGAUUCCUAAAUCCAUACUAUCAAAACCUGUAACUAUGAGAAAAUAAAGUUAGUAAAAAGAUUAAACACAAAGAAACUUGUAAUUAAAAAUGCAAAGAAAUAUUAAAGAAGAUGUACUUUAAUACCUCAUCUAAUCCUAGCAAAAGAUACAUUAAUACCUUGAUUAGACUCAUUAGAAAGAUAUAUUGGUACCUUAUCUAGUCCUAGGGGAGAUACUUUAAUUCCUUAAGGUUUCUUAACAUGUGAUACUAACCAAAUUAAUGUCUAAUUUUAUUUCAUAAAUCUAAAAGUCAUUUUAUUUAGUAUUUGAGCUCAACAUAAGCAUAAGGAAUAGCAAGAUUACACUAAUAAAUUUAACUUGCUUCAAAUUGAGCAUUGGAGCCUACCACAUACAAAAUGCUAAAUUGAUUUUAGUUGUUUAAGCAUGUGAGGUGAAAACCUAAUGCGGGAAAUUAAACCAUGUAAAGAAAAUGAGGAAAAAAAGGAAUAGAGCGUAACUAGAAAAAGAUUAAGGAUGAGAGGGCGCCUAAGAGGAAUUAAUUACAACCCUGGCUUUUAAAAGCCUUAAAUCAAAUAACACAAAUAAUAAUCCUAAUUAAUUCUAAGAGGAGUUUUAAAUGAAUCACUUAGGAUUCUUAAAUCCAUGUUAUUAAA
rnacentral:lncRNA from 1 species